CUCGGUAAGGAGCACAGCGGCAGCCGCGGCCCUGCGAAACUCACUUCCGCCUCGGUAGCGGCCGCGUGACAGGAAGCUCCCUCCCCACCCGCCCGUGCCGGCCCCGGAUGUGGCGUAAUCGCGGGGUGGCGCUGAGCGCGGCCGGCGGCAGCGGCGCGGAGAUGGCGGCCGGGGCCUGGCGCUGAGUUUCCAUGCUCCGUGGGGACGCCCUGAAGGAAAGCGGCCCCCGUGCCUGGGCCCCGUCGCGGCCCGGCCAUGCGGCUGCUGCUGCUGCGGGUGGGAUCCCGGCGGCGCCUGAGCUCGGGGUGAGUCGGCGCGCGGGGGGGGAGAGGAGACCCCCCCCCCCCAAAUGGGGGGCUCCCGGACGCCUGGGCCCCUCCCCGGACGCCUGGGCCCCUGGGAGGGGGGUGGAGGAGGGGGGUGUCCCGGACGCCUGGGCCCUUCCCGGACUCCUGGGCCCCUUCCUUGACGCUUGUCCUCCUGCCCCGGAUGCCUGGGCCCCUCCCUUCCCUGAACACCUGGGUCCCUCCCGGACACCUGGGCCCCUUCCCGGACACCUGGGCCGCUUCCCGGACGCCUGGGCCCCUCCCUUGACACUUGUCCUCCUGCCCCGGACGCCUGGGCCCCUUCCUUCCCUGGACACCUGGGUUCCUGGGGGGGGGUGGAGGGAGGUGUCCCGGACGCCUGGGCCCCUUCCUG
rnacentral:lncRNA from 1 species